rnacentral:tRNA from 1 species
GCGGUUGUGGCGGAACUGGCAGACGCGCUAUCUUCAGGCGGUAGUGGAUUUAUCCGUGAGAGUUCAAAUCUCUCCAACCGCA